rnacentral:rRNA from 1 species
UACGUAGGAGGCAAGCGUUUGUCCGGAAUUACUGGGCGUAAAGCGCGUGUAGGUGGUGGGACAAGUCUGCUGUGAAAGCGCCUGGCUUAACCGGGCGAGGUCGGCGGAAACUGUCCGACUAGAGGACGGUAGAGGGGGGUGGAAUUCCCGGUGUAGUGGUGAAAUGCGUAGAGAUCGGGAGGAACACCUGUGGCGAAGGCGGCCCCCUGGGCCGGCCCUGACACUGAACCGCGACAGCAUGGGGAGCAAACAGG